UUAGAAAUAUAAUAUAGGUGUUUGCUGUGGUGCCCGCAUUUUUCAACAUGGGUAGGUACAGGAAUUUGACUGACCACUAGUAUUUAAGCACAUGAUCUGAACUUACAUAGUGUUUUAAUAUAUCCUUAUACUUUCAUUAAUUGUGAAAUAGCCCCAAUUUUAUUUUACUAUUUAAUACAUGACCCUAGUAAAAUUGAGGUUGCCUCAGUUAAAAACAUUUUCACCAUUUGCUUCUGGAAUCAACUCGCGAGGACGGAGAAGAUGAGCAUGGCUGUGAACCAUUAGCGAGCUAACUCGAUCCUCCACUUCUGUUCGCUUCUUCAUCUUAUUUCCUCCUCAUUCGUUCGCUGAGUUAAGUAGGUGUUACAUGAAGAUCAUGACAUCCCAAUCACAUAGCUCCCCAGGAUCUUGUAGUCAUGUUGAUUAUGAAAGGUUAUGCAAAUGUGGUCUGUUAGCUUCGUUUAGGACAUCCUGGACAGAAUUUAACUAUGGACGUCGUUUCUAUAAUUGUCCUGCAAUGAAGUGUGACUAUUUUGUCUGGGUUGAUCCUCCUCGACGCAUCCAACAACGAACUAGUAGACAACCAAGGAAUCAAGCGAGUACAUGUUUUGUUAAUCCAGUAGCUGAAGAAGAAGAGAAUAGUGGCCAUGAGAAUGAAGAUGCCAAAAUUAAAAAACUGGUGGAUGGAAUGAAGUCCAGGGACCAAAUGUUGUUGACCGUAGUUUUUGGAAUUCUUGUGGUGGUCCUAAUUACGUUAUUGCUUGUAAUUUUGAAGUUGUAAUUGUUGUGUUUAUUGUCUUCGAAUUCUUGUAUUAGACUAAGUGUGGAUUAUGCUAAAUUUUAGCAUUUUGGUGCUUAAGUACAUUUUGGUGGUUAUAAGUUAAGUACAUUUUUGUGGUUAUAAGUACAUUGCUAAAGUUAUAUGUUUA